rnacentral:rRNA from 1 species
AGCGGCGAAAGGGAGAGUAACGCGUAGAUACGUACCUUGGGGUUCGGGAUAGCCACGGGAAACUGUGGGUAAUACCGAAUAAUGUCUCCGGACCAAAGAUUUAUUGCCCUAAGAGCGGUCUGCGUCCUACUAGUUUGUUGGUGGGGUAAUGGCCUACCAAGACUAAGAUGGGUACCGGGCGUGAGAGCGUGAUCCGGCUCACUGGGACUGAGACACUGCCCAGACACCUACGGGUGGCUGCAGUCGAGAAUCUUCCGCAAUGGACGAAAGUCUGACGGAGCGACGCCGCGUGCGGGAUGAAGGCCUUCGGGUUGUAAACCGCUGUCAGAGGGGAGCAAAUUUUGAGCGAUCCUCAGAGGAAGCGCAGGCUAAGUUCGUGCCAGCAGCCGCGGUAACACGAACUGCGCGAACGU